rnacentral:rRNA from 1 species
UACGGAGGGUGCGAGCGUUGUCCGGAAUCACUGGGCGUAAAGGGCGCGUAGGUGGCGCGAGGAGUCUGUGGUGAAAGCCCGAGGCUCAACUUCGGGUCGGCCGCGGAUACUCUCGUGCUGGAGGGUGGUAGAGGCCAAUGGAAUUCCGGGUGUAGCGGUGGAAUGCGUAGAGAUCCGGAAGAACACCGGUGGCGAAGGCGGUUGGCUGGGCCACACCUGACCUGAGCG